AUGGCUUAAACUUAUGAGUGGGGAAAAUAAUGAUUCUGAAUGACGCCUGAAUCCUCAGUGCUAAUGUGAGAAGCAUUUUUGAGUGGGUAAAAGUUGCCAGUAGGGUGACCCGCCUGCUUUGCGGGGUGCCUUGGAGUUGCAAUUUGCCUG
ensembl:snRNA U12 U12 minor spliceosomal RNA